UAGUACGGCGAGUGAGAGGGAAGAGCCCAAGAUUGAAAGCUGGCGUCUUCGGCGUCCGCAUUGUAAUCUCAAGAAGUGUUUUCCGCUUCGGACCAAGCCUAAGUCCCCUGGAAAGGGGCAUCAUAGAGGGUGAUAAUCCCGUACAUGGCUUGGAGCGCCCGAGGCUUUGUGAUACGCUUUCUAAGAGUCGAGUUGUUUGGGAAUGCAGCUCAAAAUGGGUGGUAAAUGCCAUCUAAGGCUAAAUAUUGGGGAGAGACCGAUAGCGAACAAGUACAGUGAUGGAAAGAUGAAAAGAACUUUGAAAAGAGAGUUAAACAGUCCGUGAAAUUGCCAAAAGGGAAGGGUAGGAGGUCAGAGAUGCGGCCUGGGAUUCAGCCUUGCUUUUGCUUGGUGUUUUUCCCAGAUUGCAGGCCAACGUCGGUUUUGGGCACUGGAGAAGGGUAGGAGGAACGUGGCACCCCUCGGGGUGUGUUAUAGCCUCCUACUGGAUACAGCGACCGAGACCGAGGACAGCAGCGUACUCGCAAGAGCGGGCCUUCGGGCACCUUUACGCUUAGGGCGUUGGCAUAAUGGCCCUCUACCACCCGUCUUGA
rnacentral:rRNA from 1 species